UACAGAGGGUGCGAGCGUUAAUCGGAAUUACUGGGCGUAAAGCGUGCGUAGACGGUUAUUUAAGUCGGGUGUGAAAGCCCGGGGCUCAACCUCGAAACUGACAUCCGAUACCUGGCAUGCCUAGAGAAAUUGGGAGAGGAGUCUAGAAUUCACGGUGUAGCAGUGAAAUGCGUAGAUAUCGUGAGGAAUACCAAGUGCGAAGGCAGGACUCGUGGACAUUUUCUGACGCUGAGACACGAAGGCCAGGGGAGCAAACGGGG
rnacentral:rRNA from 1 species